GAGUUUGAUCCUGGCUCAGAACGAACGCUGGCGGCGUGCCUAACACAUGCAAGUCGAACGAGAAAGGGGCUUCGGCUCCGAGUAAAGUGGCGCACGGGUGAGUAACACGUGGGUAACCUGCCUCUAAGAUUGGGAUAACUCGUCGAAGGAUGAGCUAAUACCGAAUAAGACCACAGUUCCCGCGGGAACAGGGGUCAAAGGUAGCCUCUGCUUGCAAGCUAUCACUUAGAGAUGGGCCUGCGCACCAUUAGCUAGUUGGUAGGGUAACGGCCUACCAAGGCAAAGAUGGUUAGCUGGUCUGAGAGGAUGAUCAGCCACACUGGAACUGAGACACGGUCCAAACUCCUACG
rnacentral:rRNA from 1 species